rnacentral:rRNA from 1 species
CAAUAGCGUAUAUUAAAGUUGUUGCAGUUAAAAAGCUCGUAGUUGGAUUUGUGGUUGUCGCCGGUCGUUCUUCACACUGUGUUGAAUGGACUGGCGUCGCCAUCCUUGGGUGGAUCCUGUGUGGCAUUAGGUUGUCGUGCAGGGGAUGCCCAUCGUUUACUGUGAAAAAAUUAGAGUGUUCAAAGCAGGCUUAUGCCGUUGAAUAUAUUAGCAUGGAAUAAUAAGAUAGGACCUUGGUACUAUUUUGUUGGUUUGCGCACCAAGGUAAUGAUUAAUAGGGACAGUUGGGGGUAUUCGUAUUCCAUUGUCAGAGGUGAAAUUCUUGGAUUUCUGGAAGACGAACUACUGCGAAAGCAUUUACCAAGGAUGUUUUCAUUAA